UACGAAGGGGGCUAGCGUUGCUCGGAAUCACUGGGCGUAAAGGGUGCGUAGGCGGGUCUUUAAGUCAGGGGUGAAAUCCUGGAGCUCAACUCCAGAACUGCCUUUGAUACUGAGGAUCUUGAGUUCGGGAGAGGUGAGUGGAAUUGCGAGUGUAGAGGUGAAAUUCGUAGAUAUUCGCAGGAACACCAGUGGCGAAGGCGGCUAACUGGUCCAUAACUGACGCUGAGGUGCGAAAGCGUGGGGAGCAAACAGG
rnacentral:rRNA from 1 species